rnacentral:rRNA from 1 species
UACGUAGGGGGCAAGCGUUGUCCGGAUUUAUUGGGCGUAAAGCGCGUGUAGGCGGCCAGGUAGGUCCGUUGUGAAAACUCGAGGCUCAACCUCGAGAUGUCGGCGGAAACCACUUGGCUAGAGUCCGGAAGAGGAGAGUGGAAUUCCUGGUGUAGCGGUGAAAUGCGCAGAUAUCAGGAAGAACACCUAUGGCGAAGGCAGCUCUCUGGGACGGUACUGACGCUGAGACGCGAAAGCGUGGGGAGCGAACAGG